rnacentral:rRNA from 1 species
UACGUAGGGUGCGAGCGUUAAUCGGAAUUACUGGGCGUAAAGCGUGCGCAGGCGGUCCGCAAAGUCUGAUGUGAAAGCCCCGGGCUCAACCUGGGAACUGCAUUGGAAACUAACGGGCUCGAGUGUGGCAGAGGGGGGUGGAAUUCCACGUGUAGCAGUGAAAUGCGUAGAGAUGUGGAGGAACACCGAUGGCGAAGGCAGCCCCCUGGGCUAACACUGACGCUCAGGCACGAAAGCGUGGGAGCAAACAGG